rnacentral:rRNA from 1 species
CCUACGGGAGGCAGCAGUGGGGAAUAUUGGACAAUGGGGGCAACCCUGAUCCAGCCAUGCCGCGUGUGUGAAGAAGGCCCUCGGGUUGUAAAGCACUUUCAGUGAGGAAGAACGCCUGGUGGUUAAUACCCAUCAGGAAAGACAUCACUCACAGAAGAAGCACUGGCUAACUCCGUGCCAGCAGCCGCGGUAAUACGGAGGGUGCGAGCGUUAAUCGGAAUUACUGGGCGUAAAGCGCGCGUAGGUGGCUUGAUAAGCCGGUUGUGAAAGCCCCGGGCUCAACCUGGGAACGGCAUCCGGAACUGUCAAGCUAGAGUGCAGGAGAGGAAGGUAGAAUUCCCGGUGUAGCGGUGAAAUGCGUAGAGAUCGGGAGGAAUACCAGUGGCGAAGGCGGCCUUCUGGACUGACACUGACACUGAGGUGCGAAAGCGUGGGUAGCAAACAGGAUUAGAUACCCUAGUAGUC